rnacentral:rRNA from 1 species
GAUGAACGCUGGCGGCGUGCCUAAUACAUGCAAGUCGAGCGAACAGACGAGGAGCUUGCUCCUCUGACGUUAGCGGCGGACGGGUGAGUAACACGUGGAUAACCUACCUAUAAGACUGGGAUAACUUCGGGAAACCGGAGCUAAUACCGGAUAAUAUAUUGAACCGCAUGGUUCAAUAGUGAAAGACGGUUUUGCUGUCACUUAUAGAUGGAUCCGCGCCGCAUUAGCUAGUUGGUAAGGUAACGGCUUACCAAGGCAACGAUGCGUAGCCGACCUGAGAGGGUGAUCGGCCACACUGGAACUGAGACACGGUCCAGACUCCUACGGGAGGCAGCAGUAGGGAAUCUUCCGCAAUGGGCGAAAGCCUGACGGAGCAACGCCGCGUGAGUGAUGAAGGUCUUCGGAUCGUAAAACUCUGUUAUUAGGGAAGAACAAAUGUGUAAGUAACUAUGCACAUCUCGACGGUACCUAAUCAGAAAGCCACGGCUAACUACGUG